rnacentral:rRNA from 1 species
GAUGAACGUGGGCGGCGUGCCUAAUACAUGCAAGUAGAACGAGUUCUCGUUGAUGAUCGGUGCUUGCACCGAGAUUCAACAUGGAACGAGUGGCGGACGGAUGAGUAACACGUGGGUAACCUGCCCUUAAGUGGGGGAUAACAUUUGGAAACAGAUGCUAAUCCCGCAUAGAUCCAAGAACCGCAUGGUUUUUGGCUGAAAGAUGGCGUAAGCUAUCACUUUUGGAUGGACCCGCGGCGUAUGAGGUAGUUGGUGAGGUAACGGCUCACCAAGGCGAUGAUAUGUAGCCGAACUGAGAGGUUGAUCGGCCACAUAGGGACUGAGACACGGCCCAAACUCCUACGGGAGGCAGCAUAGGGAAUCUUCCACAAUGGACGCAAGUCUGAUGGAGCAACGCCGCCUGAGUGAAGAAGGCUUUCGGGUUGUAAAACUCUGUUGUGGAGAAGAAGGUCGGCAGAGUAACU